rnacentral:rRNA from 1 species
AGCGAACGCUGGCGGCAGGCCUAACACAUGCAAGUCGAACGGACCCUUCGGGGUUAGUGGCGGACGGGUGAGUAGCACGUGGGAACGUGCCUUUAGGUUCGGAAUAGCUCCUGGAAACGGGUGGUAAUGCCGAAUGUGCCCUUCGGGGGAAAGAUUUAUCGCCUUUAGAGCGGCCCGCGUCUGAUUAGCUAGUUGGUGAGGUAAUGGCUCACCAAGGCGACGAUCAGUAGCUGGUCUGAGAGGAUGACCAGCCACAUUGGGACUGAGACACGGCCCAAACUCCUACGGGAGGCAGCAGUGGGGAAUCUUGCGCAAUGGGCGAAAGCCUGACGCAGCCAUGCCGCGUGAAUGAUGAAGGUCUUAGGAUUGUAAAAUUCUUUCACCGGGGACGAUAAUGACGGUACCCGGAGAAGAAGCCCCGGCUAACUUCGUGCCAGCAGCCGCGGUAAAAC